rnacentral:rRNA from 1 species
UGGGGAAUAUUGCACAAUGGGCGCAAGCCUGAUGCAGCAACGCCGCGUGCGGGAUGACGGCCUUCGGGUUGUAAACCGCUUUCAGCAGGGGCGAAGCUUUUGUGACGGUACCUGCAGAAGAAGCACCGGCUAACUACGUGCCAGCAGCCGCGGUGAUACGUAGGGUGCGAGCGUUGUCCGGAUUUAUUGGGCGUAAAGAGCUCGUAGGUGGUUGAUCGCGUCGGAAGUGAAAACUUGGGGCUUAACCCUGAGCGUGCUUUCGAUACGGGUUGACUUGAGGAAGGUAGGGGAGAAUGGAAUUCCUGGUGGAGCGGUGGAAUGCGCAGAUAUCAGGAGGAACACCAGUGGCGAAGGCGGUUCUCUGGACCUUUCCUGACGCUGAGGAGCGAAAGCGUGGGGAGCGAACAGGCUUAGAUACCCUGGUAGUCCACGCUGUAAACGGUGGGUACUAGGUGUGGGGUCCAUUCCACGGAUUCCGUGCCGUAGCUAACGCAUUAAGUACCCCGCCUGGGGAGUACGGCCGCAAGGCUA